UUUGGAACUGCCGGGGGGGGCACAGUUCAUGAGGUUUUGGCCCUUUGUAAAUACAAUUCCCCGGGGCUUGUUUUUCUUUCUGAAACACGACAAGCCUCUUGCAGGAUGGAGAAACUAAAGUGGAGAUUGCGUAUGAAGGGUUUUGCAGGUGUGUCUAGCGAUGGUCUAAGUGGUGGGCUGACUCUGUAUUGGGAUGGGAACCUACAAGUCACAGUUCUGGACUCAUGUGCACGGUAUAUAGACUUGCAGAUUGUUGAUGGUGCAAAUGAUAAAACUUGGAGGACAAUCUUUCUAUAUGGAGAACCGCAGGUGGAAAAUCGUCAUCGUAUGUGGAGCUCAUUGUCCAACCUAGGGGAGAUCUCAUUAGAACCGUGGUUGGUAUGUGGUGAUUUUAAUGAGGUAAUGUGGCAACAUGAACAUUUCCCUCAUACACAACGGUUUGAAAAUCAAAUGCAGUUGUUCCUAGACUAUUUGCUAUCCUGCGAACUAAUGGACCUAGGGUUCAGUGGAACCCCAUUUACAUAUGAUAAUGGCCAGUUGGGCGGAGGAAACAUGAGGUUCCACCUAGAGCAUGUUCAAAUGAAGCGUGGAGGAAGUUGUUUCCUUUCAUGCAAGUGGUACAUUUGGCGUCUUCGUACUCGGAUCACUGCCCAAUAUUGGUGCGACUGGCACAUGUCGAAACACAAAAAACUAGGGUUGCACCAAGGUAUGAGAUAA
rnacentral:rRNA from 1 species